rnacentral:rRNA from 1 species
CAGGGAUUGCCCCAGUAACGGCGAGUGAAGCGGCAACAGCUCAAAUUUGAAAUCUGGCCCCCAGGGCCCGAGUUGUAAUUUGCAGAGGAUGCUUUUGGCGCGGUGCCUUCCGAGUUCCCUGGAACGGGACGCCAUAGAGGGUGAGAGCCCCGUCUGGUCGGACGCCUAGCCUGUGUAAAGCUCCUUCGACGAGUCGAGUAGUUUGGGAAUGCUGCUCUAAAUGGGAGGUAUAUGUCUUCUAAAGCUAAAUACCGGCCAGAGACCGAUAGCGCACAAGUAGAGUGAUCGAAAGAUGAAAAGCACUUUGAAAAGAGGGUUAAAUAGUACGUGAAAUUGUUGAAAGGGAAGCGCUUGUGACCAGACUUGGGCCCGGUGGAUCAUCCAGCGUUCUCGCUGGUGCACUCCGCCGGGUUCAGGCCAGCAUCAGUUCGCCGCGGGGGAAAAAGGCUUCGGGAACGUGGCUCCUACGGGAGUGUUAUAGCCCGUUGCAUAAUACCCUGGGGCGGACUGAGGUUCGCGCUCCGCAAGGAUGCUGGCGUAAUGGUCAUCAGCGACCCGUCUUGAAACACGGACCAAGGAGUCGUCUUCGUAUGCGAGUGUUCGGGUGUAAAACCCCUACGCGUAAUGAAAGUGAACGCAGGUGAGAGCUUCGGCGCAUCAUCGACCGAUCCUGAUGUUCUCGGAUGGAUUUGAGUAAGAGCAUACGGGGCCGGACCCGAAAGAAGGUGAACUAUGCCUGUAUAGGGUGAAGCCAGAGGAAACUCUGGUGGAGGCUCGCAGCGGUUCUGACGUGCAAAUCGAUCGUCAAAUAUGGGCAUGGGGGCGAAAGACUAAUCGAACCUUCUAGUAGCUGGUUU